GAUUACUGCAGGAAAGUUUUCAUGUACGCGCUUGAGGAUCUCGGUACCAUUCUUGAGGAAAUGGGUGAAGAUCUUAACACGAUCGGUAACAAAUUCGACCAGCUUAAGCAAUGGUUAACCGGUGUUUACAAUUACCAAACCGAUUGUCUUGACGAUAUUCAAGAAGAUGAUUUGAGAAAGACUAUUGCUGAAGGCAUUUCUAGCUCCAAGAUUCUUACUGGUAAUGCCAUCGACAUCUUCCACACAGUUGUUAGCGCCAUGGCCAAGAUUGACGCUAAAGUCGAUGAUUUCAAGAACAUGACAAGUGGAAUCUUCACUCCUUCAGCUCCGGCCAACAAAGAAGCCGCUCCUGUCGUUGACACUCCCGUGGCCGACCCUGACGGUCCUUCUCGUCGUCUUCUUGAAGACCUUGACGACCUUGGAGUUCCAACAUGGGUUUCAGGUGCAGACAGGAAGCUCAUGGCUAACGCUGGACGUGGCCG
rnacentral:lncRNA from 1 species